UAUGUAGGGGGCAAGCGUUGUCCGGAAUCAUUGGGCGUAAAGAGCGUGUAGGCGGCUCGAUAAGUCUGCUGUGAAAGUCCAGGGCUCAACCCUGGAAGGCCGGUGGAAACUGUCGGGCUAGAGUCCGGAAGAGGCGACUGGAAUUCCUGGUGUAGCGGUGGAAUGCGCAGAUAUCAGGAGGAACACCGGUGGCGAAGGCGGGUCUCUGGGCAGUAACUGACGCUGAGGAGCGAAAGCGUGGGGAGCGAACAGG
rnacentral:rRNA from 1 species